GGUUCUCUCACCGGCUCUGGGAGGGGAGUGGGGUGUAGUGGUUAAAGCACGGGGUUCAUGCUGAUUUGGGGGGGUGUCUUUGAGUGACUGACCUGCCCCCACAUCUCCCCCCAGCGGAGAAGGCCACGGCCCCAGAGCGGAAGGGUCUCAAGUUGUUGGAGCGCAGCGAGAGCCGGGCCAAGGGGACCACGUCUGGGACCCCAGGGCUUGACCCCCCCGGAGUUUCUGUGACCGUGAACCCCCCUCCGGGGGAGGGGACCGAUGGGGAGCUGGGGUUGGAGCCCCAGUGUCCCGUGGAGCCGGGGGAGACCCCCCCAAGUGAGCAGCCCCCCGAGGACAAUGCUGAGAACGAGAGAAAAUGGAAAAGGUCGGUGACCCCCCUGGAGCCCCCCUAUUUGCAUGUUUGUGGGGACAGGCUGGUUCCACAGGGAGAAUAAUUUAUAGACACCCACGGGCUGAGCUAAGUACCCGGUUCUCAUCCUGCCGGGCCCCCUAGCGCCGGGGAGAGAACCCCCUACUGCCCCCCAGCGCCCCAUAGUGCCAGGGGAGAGAACCCCCCUACUGCCCCCCUACUGCUCCCUAGUGCCAGGGAGAGCGCCCCCUACUGCCCCCCAGUGCCCGCUCGCUCUGGGGAGAGCACCCCCUACUGCCCCCACUGCGCCCCCUAGUGCUGGGGAGAACAGCCCCCUACUGCCCCUUAGCGCCGUGCUGGGGCAUCGGGCCAGCCCUGCCUGCCGGGGAGAGCACCCCCUAGCGCUGCAUUGGGGUCAGCACUAGUGCCAGGGACAGCGCCCCCUACUGAGCCCCCCGCCCCGCUUCCUGCAGCAUGACCCCCUUCCGGAGGCUGCUGCAUGGCUGUGGGGCCCUGGCAUGAUGCAUGAACAUCCCCUGCCCCCCAUCUUCACACCUUGUGCCUGAUCUCCUCUCCCAAUCCUUGCUUCCCAUUGGCUGUUCCACCCCCCUUGCUUCUCUCAUUGGUCCAUUCGUACCUUCUGUGGCUUCUCCUCCUCUGUGAUUGGAUGAUUCUGCCUCCCAUGUCUGGUUACGAUGCCCCCCUCAUGUCUGGUUGGUUCGUGGGUUCCCCUUCCCCCUUCGUGGCUGGUCCCAUCUGGGACUCCCCUGUCCACGUCCCGUCCGGUCUGUGUCCCCCCUGUCCGUGGCUGGUCCGGUCUGUGUCCCCCCUGUCCGUGGCUGGUCCGAUCCGUGUGCCCCCCCAUCCGUGGCUGGUCCGAUCCGUGUCCUCCCUGUCCGUGGCUGGUCCGGUCUGUGUCGCCCCCGUCUUUGGCUGGUCUGGUCCGUGGCUGGUCCGGUCCGUGGCUGGUCCAUGGCUGGUCCGGUCUCCGUCCCCCCGUCCAUGGCUGGUCCGGUCCGCGGCUGGUCCGGUCUCCGUUGCCCCUUCCGUGGCUGGUCCGGUCCAUGGCUGGUCUGGUCUGUGUCCCCCCGUCCAUGGCUGGUCCGGUCUGUGUCACCCCCGUCUG